rnacentral:tmRNA from 1 species
CCACUUCACAUUAAUGUGAAAUCGCCUAUAUCGGGUGUGCUCGCUUCGGCGGGCUAUGAUGAUAAACUGCGCUGUGUACUAGGCGCAACGGACCCGGGGGCAGUACCCGGCGGCUCCACCAAAAGGCGCCUGGAAACAAGGGUUUCCCGGCAUUUUCUGAUGGGGCCGAACUAGGAUCGACGUGUGUUGAAAGGCAGUGUUUUCAUCCGGGCUGAGUAACCCGUUAAAGGCUCAAAACCCACAAGUGCCAAUGAUAAUGAAGCACUUGCUCUCGCCGCGUAAUGUGACGGCCUAACGGCCUGAAUUUACUAAGCCAAGAGCACGGUUCGGACCGAACCGGGUAACAGAAUCGGAAACC